rnacentral:rRNA from 1 species
CGGCGAGUGAAGCGGGAAAAGCUCAAAUUUUAAAUCUGAUAGGGUUCCCUAUCCGAGUUGUAGUUUCAAGAAACGUUUUCGGUUCGCGCCUGGGUAUAAGUCCUUUGGAACAGGGCAUCAUAGAGGGUGAGAAUCCCGUUUAUGACUCGGAGCGGCAAACUAUGUGAUACGUUUUCAAAGAGUCAGGUUGUUUGGGAAUGCAGCCUAAAAUGGGUGGUAAAUUUCAUCUAAAGCUAAAUAUUGGCGAGAGACCGAUAGCGAACAAGUACCGUGAGGGAAAGAUGAAAAGAACUUUGAAAAGAGAGUUAAACAGUACGUGAAAUUGUUGAAAGGGAAACGUUUGAAAUCAGUCAUGUAGGUGAGUAAUCAACUUGGCCUUUUAAAGGGCCUUGUGCACUUUCUCACAUACAGGUCAGCGUCAGUUUUGGUGGUCGGAUAAAAGCCAAGGGAAUGUGGCCCCUCCGGGGGGUGUUAUAGCCCUGGUCGAUACGAUGGCCGGGACUGAGGUCUGCAGCCGAUACCUUUUGUGGGCUGGGUUAUUUCCUUUUAACUCGUAGGUGACCGAGCUUAGACAGCUUGCUGACUAGGUUCGUCUCGCCUGCGACUUUGGGAUUUUUUUACCACAAAUCGGCUUAGGUCGCUGACUUAAUG